rnacentral:rRNA from 1 species
GACAGAGGGUGCAAACGUUGUUCGGAAUUACUGGGCGUAAAGCGCGUGUAGGCGGCCAACUAAGUCGGGCGUGAAAUCCCACGGCUCAACCGUGGAAGUGCACUCGAAACUGGAUGGCUAGAGUCCUGGAGAGGAAGGUGGAAUGCUUGGUGUAGAGGUGAAAUUCGUAGAUAUCAAGCGGAACACCGGUGGCGAAGGCGGCCUUCUGGACAGUGACUGACGCUGAGGUGCGAAAGCGUGGGGAGCAAA